rnacentral:lncRNA from 1 species
GAAUUUUCAAUGGCCAGGGAAACAGUUGGCUAUUCAUCAUCUUCGGCACUUAUGACAACAUUAACACAGAAUGCCAGUUCAUCAGCAGCCGACUCACGGAGUGGUCGAAAGAGCAAAAACAACAACAAGUCUUCAAGCCAGCAGUCAUCAUCUUCCUCCUCCUCUUCUUCCUUAUCAUCGUGUUCUUCAUCAUCAACUGUUGUACAAGAAAUCUCUCAACAAACAACUGUAGUGCCAGAAUCUGAUUCAAAUAGUCAGGUUGAUUGGACUUACGACCCAAAUGAACCUCGAUACUGCAUUUGUAAUCAGGUAUCUUAUGGUGAGAUGGUGGGAUGUGAUAACCAAGAUUGCCCUAUAGAAUGGUUCCAUUAUGGCUGCGUUGGAUUGACAGAGGCACCAAAAGGCAAAUGGUACUGUCCACAGUGCACUGCUGCAAUGAAGAGAAGAGGCAGCAGACACAAAUAAAGGUGGUCCUUUUGUUUGAUGAAGAAAUAAACUUCAGCUGAAGAUUUUAUAUAGGACUUUAAAAAGAAGAGAAGAGAAAGAAGAAACAAUGCAUUUCCAGGCAACCACUUAAAGGAUUUACAUAGACAAUCCUAUAAGAUCUUGAACUUGAAUUUUAUGGGUUGUAUUUUAAUAAUGUAAGUAAAUUAUUUAUGCACUCCU